UCUGGUGACGACAGCGAUGUGGAAAUACCUGUUCCCAUCCCGAACACAGAAGUCAAGCACAUCAACGCCGACGAUAGCCGAAAGGCAAAAAUAGGAAGUUGCCAGUU
rfam:Faecalibaculum rodentium strain Alo17, complete genome.